rnacentral:misc_RNA from 1 species
GAUGAAGAACGUAGCGAAAUGCGAUAAGUAAUGUGAAUUGCAGAAUCCAGUGAAUCAUCGAAUCUUUGAACGCACAUUGCGCCCGCCAGCAUUCUGGCGGGCAUGCCUGUUCGAGCGUCAUUUCAACCCUCGACCUCCCUUUGGAGAAGUCGGCGUUGGGGUCCGGCAGCACACCGCCGGCCCUGAAAUGGAGUGGCGGCCCGUCCGCGGCGACCCCUGCGUAGUAAACCAACUCGCACCGGAACCCCGACGUGGCCACGCCGUAAAACACCCAACUUCUGAACGUUGACCUCGAAUCAGGUAGGACUACCCGCUGAACUUAAGCAUAUCAAUAAGCGGAGGA